rnacentral:rRNA from 1 species
GAUGAACGCUGGCGGCGUGCCUAAUACAUGCAAGUCGAGCGAACAGACGAGGAACUUGCUCCUCUUACGUUAGCGGCGGACGGGUGAGUAACACGUGGAUAACCUACCUAUAAGACUGGGAUAACUUCGGGAAACCGGAGCUAAUACCGGAUAAUAUAUUGAACCGCAUGGUUCAAUAGUGAAAGACGGUUUUGCUGUCACUUAUAGAUGUAUCCGCGCCGCAUUAGCUAGUUGGUAAGGUAACGGCUUACCAAGGCAACGAUGCGUAGCCGAUCUGAGAGGGUGAUCGGCCACACUGGAACUGAGACACGGUCCAGACUCCUACGGGAGGCAGCAGUAGGGAAUCUUCCACAAUGGGCGAAAGCCUGACGGAGCAACGCCGCGUGAGUGAUGAAGGUCUUCGGAUCGUAAAACUCUGUUAUUAGGGAAGAAUAAAUGUGUAAGUAACUAUGCACGUCUUGACGGUACCUAAUCAGAAAGCCACGGCUAACUACGUG